AUAUACUCUGCGUCUGUUGAACUGAGAGUACAUAGUGUUUUGUUUAUUAUAUGAGUUGUAGACAAAAUAGAAUAAACGUUCUACAUGGCUAUUAUUGCCAUUAUCGAUAAGUACGAAAUUGAAAAUAAUUGAUUGAAAAUAAAACGGACUUGAUUAUUCGAAAUUGCCAAUAAUCAAUCAGAGAGUGACGGAAAAUAACCCUUCAAUUUAACUACAGCAGGAGAAAAUUUUGUUCAUUAUCUAUAUUUUCCGAAGUCGUUUUCAAGAAUACUUCAAGAAAAUGAAUUUCUCCAGAACAUGAUGACUUCACAUUGUUAAUGGAAAUAUGCAAUACUUGGAACAUUGUACUGAUUGAUAAAUUUCAACCGUUGGAGGACUGAUAAAAUACUGAUAGUGGGGAAUCAACAUAUGAUAUCAUAUAUUGAUUAUUGUACAUGAAUCGAUCGCAUUUAUCGAAUGUGGAUUGAAAAUCAUAAUUGCUGACUGAAUUAAAUAAAGUUUGCUAAUAAUGUAAAAUUUGUUUAUAGGAAAAUCAUAGACCCUCGAUUUCAGAUAAUUCGAUACAAAACCAUUCUGUAAAUAAACUGAAAUUGAAAACCGGCUUACUUCGAUAUAGAUCCAUGAA